rnacentral:lncRNA from 1 species
GUACAAGGACUAAAGGAGGGACCCUAACCGAGCAGUUAAGGAGAGUUCCAAGGUAGCACAAGUAGCGAGCAGUCGAUCCAAGGCUGUAACUCAGGUGGUUUUCUCAGAUGUUGUUCCCUCUGCUCUGGCCUCUGUCUUCAAGGGUGCCGGUCAGGGUUGGUGAGGUGGCUCAGCAGGUCGAAGAGCACUUGCCUGAUGACUCGUGUUGGAUCACAGGAACUCACAUAGUGGAAGGAGAGAACCAAUUCCCACAUGCUAGCCUCUGCCUGCCGUAUCAGAUAUACACGAUGAAUAAAGAAAGUUUCGUUAUUAUAGUCAAGCCACCAUACUCAUAGAAUUCUUGGUAAAUGCCUGGCCAUCUUCAGAGCAGCCGUGUAAGAUGUCAUCAUAUCCACACUUCAGAGCCAGGAUUCCAGUGAUCUGAGGAACUCCAAAGUCAAAGCCUUCAUCGUGCAAACAGUGAAGAUGGUCAAACGUGCGGGUUAGGGUCUGAAGGUGCAAAGCAAGUCGUGAAGGACAUGCAGGUAUUCAUGCUCAGUACACUCAGCUACUGUGAUGGUGACUUUUAUGUCAUUAUUUCCAUUCAUCUCGGUUACUGACACUUUUUCAGGACGGGGUCCCACUUCUAAAAUUUUGGGGAUUAAAUUAGGUGGUAUUUUUUUCUUGUCUUUGUGCACUAAUAAAGAUCCAUAAAACUUGAACAAAAAUAAAUACAACUUUUAACAGGCAGUGGUGAUGAACACCUUUAAUCCCAGCACUCUGGAGGCAGAGGCAGGCAGAUCUUUGAGUUCAAGGCCAGACUGGACAGAACAAAUUCUAGGAUAACCCAGGCUACACAGAG